rnacentral:misc_RNA from 1 species
GAAAUGCGAUAAGUAAUGUGAAUUGCAGAAUUCAGUGAAUCAUCGAAUCUUUGAACGCACCUUGCGCUCCUUGGUAUUCCUUGGAGCAUGCCUGUUUGAGUAUCAUGAAAUCUUCAAAGUAAAUCUUUUGUUAACUCAAUUGGUUUCUACUUUGGUAUUGGAGGUCUUUGCAGCUUCACACCUGCUCCUCUUUGUUCAUUAGCUGGAUCUCAGUGUUAUGCUUGGUUCCACUCGGCGUGAUAAGUUAUCUAUCGCUGAGGACACUGUAAAAGGUGGCCAAGGUAAAUGCAGACGAACCGCUUCUAAUAGUCCAUUGACUUGGACAAUACUUUUAUGAUCUGAUCUGAAAUCAGGUAGGACUGCCCGCUGAACUUAAGC